UGGGGUCACACUCAAAAGAGUUUCUGUCUGAUCAAGUGGCUGAUCAAUGAUUGAGAAUCAUUCUGAGGUUUAAUCAUCAAUUCGAUUGAUGAUUAACUUGAUGCAAAAGUUGCAAUGUGCUAAUUUACUAAGGGUUAGUGGAUUAAAGGAGGAUUGAUAAGCAAUUGGAUUGCUGAUUAGGUCAAUUUGAUUGAGCAAUGUAAUUUGAUUCAAGUCUAAUUGAAUUGGAUUCAAUUUGAUUUGACUCAAUUAGGUUAUGAGAUGAUCUAAUUGCUAAGGAUGAUUGAUUUCUGAUUUGAUUAGAAAUUGCACUCAAUCAAAUUCUUAUUUAAUCAAGUUUGAAACCUAAUUGGAUUGAGUUUAAGUUAUUUAAUUGGGUCUUAUCUAAUUUGAUUAGGUUGGAGACUUAUUUGAUAAAUUCUAAGAGUCCAAAACAACUUGGACUCUCCUAGCCGCCGACCACCCUUGUGCGCACACCAAUAUCUCAAUGCAAAUUCAGAUUUACGUGAGUGUUUGCAUGCCUCUCAAAGCUCUAUCGCCUCAUCUCAACGCCCACUCUUAAUAAGGAUCAAAAGGUGGAUAGGUUGAAUUCAAAUUUGAUUCGAAUAGGAGAUUAGAUGAGAAUUUGUUCUCAUCCAUCCAACUUCCGUGCCAUCUAUAAAAACCCCUCCCUUUUGUGUGACAAAAGAGAGUUGAAAUCAGUGUGAGAUUAGGAUUUUGAGCAAGAGGUCUACGGGUUGGGCGGCCAUCUUUGGCAUGUGAGCAUAGAGGAGUUCUUCCUCCUCUUGGGUGUGCAAAAACCUAAAUCUGAUCUAAGGUUUUUUGGUGAGGAAAAAAUAAAGAGAGAAGAAAGUUCUCUUCUAUCUUUUCCACCACCACAUCCUCCUCCAUCUUCAGAUCUGAAGGAGUUUGGGAGAUCUGAAGAGAGGAGCAGAUCAGCCAUCCAGUAGAUCUUCACAUAAACUAGUACUUUUAAGGAGAUCAAUCAGUGCAGGACUUCGAGUGGACCAACCAUAGAGUCUGGACAUCCUAUGCGGCUGUGAUCAUCCUUCGAGUCCUUGUGAUUCAAAUGUGGAGACCUUCUACCCAUGCUCAGAUAUCAAGUUCUGAACUGGAUCUGUAUGUAGAUGUGAUCUAUAGAUGCAU
rnacentral:lncRNA from 1 species